AACCAUAGAAACCUGCGGAGUACCUGCGGAAGGAUCAUUACCGAGUUUACAACUCCCAAACCCCUGUGAACAUACCAAUUGUUGCCUCGGCGGAUCAGCCCGCUCCCGGUAAAACGGGACGGCCCGCCAGAGGACCCCUAAACUCUGUUUCUAUAUGUAACUUCUGAGUAAAACCAUAAAUAAAUCAAAACUUUCAGCAAUGGAUCU
rnacentral:misc_RNA from 1 species